AGGAGGGUCUAUAACACCGUCGUACACCAUACGAGAAAUUUGGUAUCCAUUUGAAUGAUUGAAGUGCCUCACCUAAACUAGGCUGAAGCUUUUGUGGAAUGGACGCUGACUGGGAUUUGACUAGUAAUUGGGGUUUGGAAGCUUUUUCUGCAAUCUGUCAUUUAACAAUAGGCAGCAGGGAGCUCGGUAAUUGGUGUUUCUGCAAAUGAACCGUUCAAAUGCUGCCACCCCAAUCGUUGAAGGCUACUUGAAGGUAAAAUAUAUGGUCCACAUAUAAAGGAAUCUGUUGUGUUAAGCUACACCCGAAACAUAGACCGACACUUCGAUCGAACUACAAUGCCUAGAAUUGCAAACCGUUCGACCUCACCAUCGUUGAAGAGAUAUGAAAUAAUGGGGAAGGAACAAGAAAUGACUGGCAUGUGCGAAAAGGCUGAAUGCCAAGUGUUCAAUAUGGAUGAAAGAAUUAUGGUCUUUGUUCAUAGUAAAAGGAGAUUGCUUGUGGCUCAUAGUGACAUGUUGGAGCGGAACGAUAAGCUUUUCAAGGGAUUACUAAUUUCAAAGGUCGUGACUGGAAUAACUAGUGAAGUAGGAGUUCAUCCAAUCUGAUGUGCUUAUGCAAUGUGUCAGGGGUAUGGAGGAUAGACUAUGUAUCAUGCGGACUUUCACCAUGAAGGAAAUUUGGUAUGCAUUUGACCGAUUGAAGUGGCCCUUAACUCAAUAUGUUUUCAUCAUCUUAAGCAAUCCAAUGUUUUUGUUAAAAGUUCAGUGUCCGAAAC